rnacentral:lncRNA from 1 species
CACGUGUUGUUAUAGCGUCAUUUCUUAGCAUGUGCUUUAAUUUGACCAAUAGACAGUUUACCAGGAACAUGAAUAACAAUCGUAGUGUCAGCUCUUCUCUGUCAAUAAACAUCGCUAACGAAAGUCGUGAUGGAACAAUCUGUUGUUACUGGUCGUUGUUAAGCAGACAACGUCGUUUACUGACAGCAGUGUUAUACGAUGUUGGUGGAACCGGGCCUAAAUGGCAUAAUGAAUGGGCAAGAAGUUUGUAACUAGAGGAACACCUGUAAUCUGUUUCUUAAUAUUCAUAGGGAAAAAUUGAUUACUUACAUAAUAAUAUUAUUUUUAUUUACUCAUUAUUAAUCAGUUGUGUUGUUAUUGUAUGAUUAUCC